CAGCUGGCUGCUGGGCGGAAGCAGCGCUUUGCAAAGAAGCGUUAGCAAUAGGCUGAGGGUCGGAACCCUGAACAGUCAAACCAGGAUUCGAGGCUGCUUUCUGUGAUUUCUUACUCACAGCUCCGAGAACAACCAUGUUGCUAGGGCGUUUAUCCUUCGCAACAGGAACUACAGACUUAGUUGUCUGGACAACGGCCGAAAAACUCGGCGAACUUGAACGGGAAGCCUGAAGAGAGCCAGAAGGCUGAGAAACCUCAGGGGAACUACGACCAGAGGCGCUUUCGACAGCCAGCCUGCUGCCGGAGCCACCUCCAGAGACCUGCUCAGAGAGCGGGGGGAAUGAUGACAUUGGAACAGGGGACGAAGUCCUCUCAGCCCACGAAAGGGCAACCAUCUCCGGGCCUUGGGCGUCACCCAUGGCUCUCAGGACGGUGUAGUUAGGAGAGGACGAGACCUAAAAGGGAAAACAACGACGAGAAAACACCUGAAAAUAAAGGGGAGGCCCUACUUUGGGUAUUUGAAGACUCGAUGGGCUCAGAGUUGCCAAUGAGCCGGGCAAAGAAACGAACACACGCUGUGUUUCAAGCGUGAGGGUCUCAGUGCCUCAGUGCACAAGAAACUUAUCUAAUUUUGAAGUCCCGACUAUCCAAGAGGUAGUCGGUAAACAGCCGCUUCAAUGUCUAGAUAGACCUAGACACUGCUGUAAGCCUUGGUCGAACUGGAAACUUCGGAAUCUUCGGAAAUCUUCUUCCGGGGACCACGGGACCUAGCUAAGAUGAAAAAGCGCUGAAAACACCAGAUACUUUGAUCUUAGCCAAAAGGCCGAGAAGCGAUGCCAAAAAUUGGCGUCCGAGGGGGUCCUGUAGCCAA
rnacentral:lncRNA from 1 species